UUGCUGAGACAUAACUACGCAUUCAUACCAGUUGAGAAAAUAUCAUUAUCCUACGUUGAAAAUUAACUAGAAGAUACUGAUAAUUAUAUAGGUUUUAUGCAAUAUGGCAGUACAUAGAUCACUCGAUGCAUGCUGAGACAUGAAUUCACAUUUCUACCACUUCGGAAAGUAUCAAUAUCCUACAUGUAAAAUGGACUAGAAGAUACUGAAAAUAUUAAUGGUUUUAUACAAUAUGGCAAUACAGCAGAUCACUCAAGGCUUGCUGAGACAUGACUACGCAUUCAUACCAGUUGAGAAAAUAUCAUUAUCCUACGUUGAAAAUUAACUAGAAGAUACUGAUAAUUAUAUAGGUUUUAUGCAAUGUACGUGAAAUGGCUAUUGAAUGUAAUUGAUAGUAAAUUAAUAGUAGUGUAACAAUUGAAAUUUGUUAAAAAUCUGAAUAAAGGAUUGGGAAACACA